ensembl:lncRNA
CCCCCCCCCAGUCCUGUCCUCAACCAUCAGAGAGUCUGAAUCAGUGGGUAGGUUGUUUUUCCCUGCUAUGCCUCAGUGGGAGAGCACCAGCAGUGGGGCUGAAUGUAAUUUAGACGUUUCCCUUUAGGCACAGAUCUAGGAUCAGCGUAGAGUCUUCAGCUCCAACUCUAAACUGACCUCAGUGUCGAGGUGCCACUUCACCUGUCGUCCUCUUACCUGUCGAUGUGCUGACCCUUAUCUAGCUGCAGGAAUCUAAAGAGCGUGGCCUAGAAGACAGGAAAGAGAGGAGGUGAGGGGGAGGGGAGACGUCCCACCACGGAGCUACAGAGUGACAAGAAGAGACCUGUUAGACUGGGAUUGUCUCUCACACACGUACACAGAGAGAAAGAUACAUUAAGACGAGGAGGAUAGAGAACUGUACAUCACAGCAGAGAGAGAGACGAGGAGGAUAGAGAACUGUACAUCACAGCAGAGAGAGAGACGAGGAGGAUAGAGAACUGUACAUCACAGCAGAGAGAGAGAGACGAGGAGGAUAGAGAACUGUACAUCACAGCAGAGAGAGAGACUAGGAGGAUAGAGAACUGUACAUCACAGCAGAGAGAGAGACGAGGAGGAUAGAGAACUGUACAUCACAGCAGAGAGAGAGACGAGGAGGAUAGAGAACUGUACAUCACAGCAGAGAGAGAGACGAGGAGGAUAGAGAACUGUACAUCACAGCAGAGAGAGAGACGAGGAGGAUAGAGAACUGUACAUCACAGCAGAGAGAGAGAGACGAGGAGGAUAGAGAACUGUACAUCACAGCAGAGAGAGAGACUAGGAGGAUAGAGAACUGUACAUCACAGCAGAGAGAGAGACGAGGAGGAUAGAGAACUGUACAUCACAGCAGAGAGAGAGAGAGAGACUAGGAGGAUAGAGAACUGUACAUCACAGCAGAGAGAGAGACUAGGAGGAUAGAGAACUGUACAUCACAGCAGAGAGAGAGAGAGAGAGACGAGGAGGAUAGAGAACUGUACAUCACAGCAGAGAGAGAGACGAGGAGGAUAGAGAACUGUACAUCACAGCAGAGAGAGAGACGAGGAGGAUAGAGAACUGUACAUCACAGCAGAGAGAGAGACUAGGAGGAUAGAGAACUGUACAUCACAGCAGAGAGAGAGACUAGGAGGAUAGAGAACUGUACAUCACAAGAGAGAGAGAGAGACUAGGAGGAUAGAGAACUGUACAUCACAGUAGAGAGAGAGAGAGAGAGACUAGGAGGAUAGAGAACUGUACAUCACAGCAGAGAGAGAGAGACUAGGAGGAUAGAGAACUGUACAUCACAGCAGAGAGAGAGAGACGAGGAGGAUAGAGAACUGUACAUCACAGCAGAGAGAGAGACGAGGAGGAUAGAGAACUGUACAUCACAGCAGAGAGAGAGAGAGAGAGACGAGGAGGAUAGAGAACUGUACAUCACAGCAGAGAGAGAGACUAGGAGGAUAGAGAACUGUACAUCACAGCAGAGAGAGAGAGACGAGGAGGAUAGAGAACUGUACAUCACAGCAGAGAGAGAGAGA